AAAAGGAAGGCAACCUAAGUUCGCCGCGUCCUGCGGCAACGGUUGCAUGUCCUGCAUCCUGCAG
rnacentral:sRNA from 1 species